GCCAGAACUUCUUCAUUUUUACAUCCUUGUUUCUUAUUCUGAGGGAACAACAAAGCAGAAGUAUUGUCAGAAGCUGUUGCAACAUCAGGAUUGAAAGCUGUCUCUAUGAGAGCAGAAGAGGAAUCCCCUGGGUUUUUUGCAGCAAAGGCCAUGUUCAGCAUGCUGAGCCAUGCCAGGAAGCUGGAGUCUGAAGAAACCCAAACAUCCUUUCAUACUCACCAAGGAAACAACU